GAAAGAGAGAGAACACAAAACAGAGGCUGAGGGCAAAGCCUCUCCCUCUCUCCUCCCUCCUGCUCUAGGGAAAAUGAAAAGGCCACUUAGGAGCUAUGGUGCAAGCAAGACACAAGCAGCAGGAAAAGCAAGGUCCCGGUGUCCUCCUAGUGUCACCCAAGCAGAGAACAGCAUCCUAGCCCAUCCAAACUUCUGUCAGAGCAGGAGUGUCCACCAGUUCUUGCACAUUGCUGACUCAGAAUGAAUAUUAAACACCAGACUUCACAGAGGCCAGCCCUGCAGGGCAGGCAAUGAACCAACCCUACUCAUGCCUGUUCAUUAUUAUAAUUAAUAUUGAGCCAGAGUUGGUGGCAACCUCGCCCUCGCCAGGUAUUUGGGCUAUUUUAGAAGCUUAUUCAGAUCAAUGACAGACAGCUCCGAAUAGAUAAACUCCCCGCCAUCCAGACGAAUCAAUUGCAACACUGCCGUCACAACAAGCCCAAGAAAUCAAUCUGAUUUCAGGCGACAUGGUAACUCAGCACUGGGCAAGCGGGUUUUAAUUUCCGCGUGGCUGAGACCCGGCUUCCUCCGCCUGCUGCAGCUCCCCUCUUCCCCAAGCACACAGGUGCUCAGGGUCCUCAGAAGGUUCAGGCCAAAGGAAGCAGCUGUACAGGGUACAGGGUGUCCAGGAGGCUGUGCGAUUUGAGGAAGGCUCCUGAACCCCCAAACCCAGGAGAAGCUGACUCAGAUCUGCCGACAAGAUCCUUGUCUUGCUGGUUUCAGCUCUGAUUUUCCGCUGCCCUCUGCAAAAACCAAGCCUGGAGGCCCUUCUGGGCUGCUUCCCAAACCAGGGAGCUGCUGAGAGGAAUGGUGCUAAGCAAUGCACAUGCAUCAUCUUCUAAACCCACA